GCCCUGGCGAGUAGGCAGGCGUGGAGGCCCGUGACGAAGCCUUGGGGGUGACCCCGGGUCGAACGGCCUCUAGUGCAGAUCUUGGUGGUAGUAGCAAAUACUCAAAUGAGAACUUUGAGGACUGAAGUGGGGAAAGGUUCCGUGUGAACAGCAGUUGGACACGGGUUAGUCGAUCCUAAGCCAUAGGGAAACUCCGUUUUAAAGUGCGCUCUUGGGCCCCGCCCGCGAAAGGGAAGCCGGUUAAUAUUCCGGCACCUGGAUGUGGAUUAUCCGCGGCAACGCAACUGAAAGAGGAGACGUCGGCGGGGGCCCCGAGAAGAGUUCUCUUUUCUUCUUAACGGUCUNUCACCCUGAAAUCGGUUUGUCCGGAGCUAGGGUUUAACGAGACGAGGCAGAGCAGCAGCACCUUUGUGCGUGUCCGGUGCGCUCCCGACGACCCUUGAAAAUCCGCCGGAAGGAAUGAUUUUCACGCCAGGUCGUACUCAUAACCGCAGCAGGUCUCCAAGGUGAAGAGCCUCUAGUCGAUAGAAUAAUGUAGGUAAGGGAAGUCGGCAAAUUGGAUCCGUAACUUCGGAACAAGGAUUGGCUCUGAGGAUCGGGGCGUGUCGGGCUUGGUCGGGAAGCGGGUCGGUGCUGACGUGCCGGGCCUGGGCGAGGGGUAACGGCAGCGGGCGGAGAAAUCCGUCCGCUCGCCGGGAUCCGAGCUCGGUCUCGUGCCUUGGCCUCCCGCGGAUCUUCCUUGCUGCGGGGUGUCGGCUGUCUGGACGCGGUUCGGGCUAACGCCCUGCCGUGGUCGGGCCGAAUCUGUCCCUUCGGCCGCCAUUCAACGAUCAGCUCAGAACUGGCACGGACCGGGGGAAUCCGACUGUCUAAUUAAAGCAAAGCAUUGCGAUGGCCCCAGCUGGGUGUUUACGCAAUGUGAUUUCUGCCCAGUGCUCUGAAUGUCAAAGUGAAGAAAUUCAAGCAAGCGCGGGUAAACGGCGGGAGUAACUAUGACUCUCUUAAGGUAGCCAAAUGCCUCGUCAUCCAAUUAGUGACGCGCAUGAAUGGAUUAACGAGAUUCUCUCUGUCCCUGAUCUUACUAUCUAGCGAAACCACAGCCAAGGGAACGGGCUUGGCAAAAUCAGCGGGGAAAGAAGACCCUGUUGAGCUUGACUCUAGUCUGAAUCUGUGAAGAGACAUGAGAGGUGUAGCAUAAGUGGGAGAAGCAAUUCGCCGGUGAAAUACCACUACUUUCAUAGUUUCUUUACUGACUCGAUUAAGUGGAAAGCGGAACUCCUAAUCAGGGUUCCACGUUUCUUGUAUCAAGUGUUCGAGGUAUGGGUCUUAGUUUCGGCUAUCCCAUACUGCGGCACGAUCCAUUUCGAGGACAGUUUCAGGCGGGGAGUUUGACUGGGGCGGUACAUCUGUCAAAAGGUAACGCAGGUGUCCUAAGGCUAGCUCAGCGAGGACAGAAACCUCGCGUAGAGCAAAAGAGCAAAUGCUGGCUUGAUCCUGAUUUUCAGUACGAAUACGGACCGCGAAAGCGGGGUCUAUCGAUCCUUUUGCCUAUUAAGAGUUUUAAGCAAGAGGUGUCAGAAAAGUUACCACAGGGAUAACUGGCUUGUGGCGG
rnacentral:rRNA from 1 species